rnacentral:rRNA from 1 species
CGAACGGGUGAGUAACACGUGAGCAACCUACCUUGGAGUGGGGGAUAACCUUCCCAACGGAGGGCUAAUACCGCAUAUGGCGAUAGUGGGGCAUCCCACAGUCGUGAAAGCCUACGGGCGCUCCUUGAUGGGCUCGCGUCCUAUUAGGUAGUUGGUGAGGUAACGGCUCACCAAGCUUACGAUGGGUAGCCGACCUGAGAGGGUGAUCGGCCACACUGGGACUGAGAUACGGCCCAG